GGCCUUGCGCUCUUUGAGCGGCCGAUGUCAGAUUAGCUAGUUGGUGAGGUAAAGGCUUACCAAGGCGACGAUCUGUAGCGGGUCUGAGAGGAUGAUCCGCCACACUGGAACUGAGACACGGUCCAGACUCCUACGGGAGGCAGCAGUGGGGAAUUUUGGACAAUGGGGGCAACCCUGAUCCAGCCAUGCCGCGUGAGUGAAGAAGGCCUUCGGGUUGUAAAGCUCUUUCGGCCGGGAAGAAAUCGCAUGGGCCAAUACCCUGUGUGGAUGACGGUACCGGAAUAAGAAGCACCGGCUAACUACGUGCCAGCAGCCGCGGUAAUACGUAGGGUGCGAGCGUUAAUCGGAAUUACUGGGCGUAAAGCGUGCGCAGGCGGUUUUGUAAGACAGGCGUGAAAUCCCCGGGCUUAACCUGGGAACUGCGUUUGUGACUGCAGGGCUAGAGUACGGCAGAGGGGGGUGGAAUUCCACGUGUAGCAGUGAAAUGCGUAGAGAUGUGGAGGAACACCAAUGGCGAAGGCAGCCCCCUGGGUCGAUACUGACGCUCAUGCACGAAAGCGUGGGUAGCAAACAGGAUUAGAUACCCUGGUUGUCCACGCCCUAAACUAUGUCAACUAGGUGUUGGGUGGGUAAAACCAUUUAGUACCGUAGCUAACGCGUGAAGUUGACCGCCUGGGGAGUACGGCCGCGAGGUUAAAACUCAAAGGAAUUGACGGGGACCCGCACAGGCGGUGGAUGAUGUGGAUUAAUUCGAUGCAACGCGAAAAACCUUACCUACCCUUGACAUGCCAGGAACUUGCCAGAGAUGGCUUGGUGCCCGAAAGGGAGCCUGGACACAGGUGCUGCAUGGCUGUCGUCAGCUCGUGUCGUGAGAUGUUGGGUUAAGUCCCGCAACGAGCGCAACCCUUGUCGUUAAUUGCCAUCAUUUAGUUGGGCACUUUAACGAGACUGCCGGUGACAAACCGGAGGAAGGUGGGGAUGACGUCAAGUCCUCAUGGCCCUUAUGGGUAGGGCUUCACACGUCAUACAAUGGUCGGUACAAAGGGUUGCCAAGCCGCGAGGCGGAGCCAAUCCCAGAAAGCCGAUCGUAGCCCGGAUUGCAGGCUGCAACUCGCCUGCAUGAAGUCGGAAUCGCUAGUAAUCGUGGAUCAGCAUGUCACGGUGAAUACGUUCCCGGGUCUUGUACACACCGCCCGUCACACCAUGGGAGCGGGUUCCGCCAGAAGUAGGUAGCCUAACCGCAAGGGGGGCGCUUACCACGGCGGGGUUCGUGACUG
rnacentral:rRNA from 1 species